rnacentral:lncRNA from 1 species
GCCUGUUAUGGGCUCUGCUGUUAACUUCUUUCAUCACCCUGGCAACUAAUUUAACAUCCCUGGAUAUAUCAUUAUCUGGCAUAAAUUGUCUUAGUGCCAUGUAAGCCAUUAACACUGGCUGUGAGGGUCAGCCUCUCUGUGCCUUGGUUUACUCUUGCGGAGAAACGAGCAGCAUUGGCUGUGCUUGCCAAGUAUAUUGCACUGGGUAAAUAAUGAACAGAUGUCAAAUGUUUUGGGCUUCUCAGAUGGCGGUGGGGGGGGAAGUGGGGAGAAACUGUAGGAGUGGCUAGGAGUGUUGUUAUAUUCAGAAAUCUUCACAGAGCUAGCAGGUGAACUAUUAGGAAAGCGAGCUGUGAUACAGAUUGGUGACUCUUAAUUCCUCAUUAGAAUAUUUGCUUACAGGAUGGGGAUCAGACAGAUCUAAGUUCUUCUGAGCAGCUGUUUUGAAGUCAUGGAUUUUGCCUGUCCCCACCGCUGGCUGCUGUCCUUCAGAGAACAGCUGCUGUCUGCAGGGUGCCCCUUUCGGCUGGGAGCUGUGGAAGAACGUCUUUCUCCUGCACCCAGAAUUAAUUUGCGAGGCUGCAGCUCAUACAAAUAA